AGACCAAAGGUUUACUGCCGGAAGAGCGGCCGAUGCGAUAUUAGGUAGUUGGUGGGGUAAUGGCCUACCAAGCCUGAGAUGUCUAGGGGGUGUGAGAGCAUGGCCCCCACCACUGGGACUGAGAUACUGCCCAGACACCUACGGGUGGCUGCAGUCGAGGAUCUUCGUCAAUGGGCGAAAGCCUGAACGAGCGACGCCGCGUGCGGGAUGAAGGCCCUUGGGUUGUAAACCGCUGUCAGGGGGGAUGAAACCGUAAGGUUGACAGAGCCCCAGAGGAAGCACGGGCUAAGUUCGUGCCAGCAGCCGCGGUAAUACGAACUGUGCGAACGUUACUCGGAAUCACUGGGCUUACAGGGUGCGUAGGUGGCUUGAUAAGCAGGGUGUGAAAUCCCUCGGCUCAACCGAGGAACUGCGCUCUGAACUGUCGGGCUAGAGUAUGCUAGAGGUGAAUGGAACAUCCAGUGGAGCGGUGAAAUGUG
rnacentral:rRNA from 1 species